GAGCUCCCAAUGCCAAAUCAGCAACAAAGGAGGGAGGGGCCCGUGAGGCUCAGACAGCCCCCAGCAGGUGAUCUCUAAAUGAGGGCUUAAAAGAUGAGGAAAGUUUGAGCAAAGGAGAGACAGGAUCCUCCUGUCUGUGCUUGAAAUUACAGACCAUCCAAACCACAGAAAGCUGGGCAGCUGCUGGCAAGAUGGGAGCCGGCGGAGCACAUCCACAUGCCAGGAGCCAUGAACAAGACCUGUCAGGGGAGGCCUCGGCUGGCACCACCCAGGGCUGCAGAAUAUCUUCCUCAGCUGUGGAGAAACUUCUCCUUGUCCAUCACAGUCACAUCCAGCACCUCCUUCAGGAACUCCCAACCCUCUGAAAUGUUCUCCUAUCAAAUACUUCACAGUGAUGCUUGCAAACUUCUGACAAGACGUGUCCUUUGCCAGUCAAGGUGCUGCAGGGUGAAACACAACAGGGGAGGGCUGUGUGUCUGUGUGAAGAUAGAAACAGAGAUGGGGACAGCACGGCCUCGUCCCUGGACGAGAUCGGGCCACAGGCUCCCCUGACCAGGGUUGUGUCUCAUGGGGAGCCUGACGGAACGGCCAGUCUUGCGCUUCAGUGAUCCAAGGUGGCAGCUUUUGUUAGCUGGUGUGUCCCUUGUCACCGUGUCUACUGACUCUGCUUCCUUGGCCCCGAGCACGGUGUGGACAAAUUCCCUGUGGUAGGGUGAAACGAGUGGUCUGCACACGUGGGAGGCAUUUCAGCGCCAGUCACCAGCCGCGUGACCUGGCAUGGCUAUAAUGAAGAACAUAAACUCCUUCUCCACAACAGGUCAUUUUAAAAAUGCACAUGCUUUCCUUUUUGCCGAGCCUGACGACGUCGGUUGAGGCACUGCACGGCGUGCCCGGCACUCCUGCCUGACCCGGUGACUUCUCUGUGCAAAGAGGACAUGGGGAGGAUGGUUGAGAUGCACCAGACGGCCUCAUUAUGGCAAUGUGUUUCUAAGAUCAGUGUUAGGCGGAUUUGAUGACAUUUAGAAUUUAAUUAAAAUGUGGGAAAAUAAAGUUGUAAAGAUUAGAUCUGUUCCUGCAACAAAAAUCACUACAGAAAAACAGGGAACCUGAAUAGAGACUGCAGUUUAAGUUUCUAGUGAGUACU
ensembl:lncRNA